UACGUAGGGUGCAGGCGUUAAUCGGAAUUACUGGGCGUAAAGCGUGCGCAGGCGGUUUGCUAAGACAGGUGUGAAAUCCCCGGGCUUAACCUGGGAACUGCGCUUGUAACUGGCAAGCUAGAGUGUGGCAGAGGGGGGUGGAAUUCCAGGUGUAGCAGUGAAAUGCGUAGAGAUCUGGAGGAACACCGAUGGCGAAGGCAGCCCCCUGGGCAGUGGCUGACGCUGAGGCGCGACAGCGUGGGGAGCAAACAGG
rnacentral:rRNA from 1 species